UAUAUGUGUUGGCAACUUUAAAGAUGAGU
rnacentral:piRNA from 1 species